UACAGAGGUGGCAAGCGUUGUUCGGAAUUACUGGGCGUAAAGGGCGCGUAGGCGGUCUUCUAAGUCUUGUGUGAAAUCCCUCGGCUUAACUGAGGAACUGCACGGGAUACUGGAUGACUUGAGUUCGGGAGAGGGAAGCGGAAUUCCGGGUGUAGCGGUGAAAUGCGUAGAUAUCCGGAGGAACACCGGUGGCGAAGGCGGCUUGCUGGGCCUUACCUGACGCUGAGGAGCGAAAGCGUGGGGAGCGAACAGG
rnacentral:rRNA from 1 species